GACGAACGCUGGCGGCGUGCUUAACACAUGCAAGUCGAACGGAAAGGCCCUGCUUUUGUGGGGUGCUCGAGUGGCGAACGGGUGAGUAACACGUGAGUAACCUGCCCUUGACUUUGGGAUAACUUCAGGAAACUGGGGCUAAUACCGGAUAGGAGCUCCUGCUGCAUGGUGGGGGUUGGAAAGUUUCGGCGGUUGGGGAUGGACUCGCGGCUUAUCAGCUUGUUGGUGGGGUAGUGGCUUACCAAGGCUUUGACGGGUAGCCGGCCUGAGAGGGUGACCGGCCACAUUGGGACUGGGAUACGGCCCAGACUCCUUCGGGAGGCAGCAGUGGGGAAUAUUGCACAAUGGGCGGAAGCCUGAUGCAGCAACGCCGCGUGCGGGAUGACGGCCUUCGGGUUGUAAACCGCUUUCGCCUGUGACGAAGCGUGAGUGACGGUAAUGGGUAAAGAAGCACCGGCUAACUACGUG
rnacentral:rRNA from 1 species